rnacentral:rRNA from 1 species
AGCGCAGCUACACAUGCAAGUCGAGCGCUCUCUUCGGAGGGAGCGGCGGACGGGUUAGUAACGCGUGGGAAUAUACCCUUUGGUACGGAAUAGCCUCUGGAAACGGAGAGUAAUACCGUAUGAGCCCUUCGGGGGAAAGAUUUAUCGCCAAAGGAUUAGCCCGCGUUAGAUUAGGUAGUUGGUGGGGUAAUGGCCUACCAAGCCUACGAUCUAUAGCUGGUUUUAGAGGAUGAUCAGCAACACUGGGACUGAGACACGGCCCAGACUCCUACGGGAGGCAGCAGUGGGGAAUCUUGGACAAUGGGGGCAACCCUGAUCCAGCCAUGCCGCGUGAGUGAUGAAGGCCUUAGGGUCGUAAAGCUCUUUCGCCUGUGAAGAUAAUGACGGUAGCAGGUAAAGAAACCCCGGCUAACUCCGUGCCAGCAGCCGCGGUAAUACGGAGGGGGUUAGCGUUGUUCGGAAUUACUGGGCGUAAAGCGCACGUAGGCGGACUGGAAAGUUGGGGGUGAAAUCCCAGGGCUCAACCCUGGAACUGCCUCCAAAACUAUCAGUCUAGAGUUCGAGAGAGGUGAGUGGAAUUCCGAGUGUAGAGGUGAAAUUCGUAGAUAUUCGGAGGAACACCAGUGGCGAAGGCGGCACACUGGCUCGAUACUGAACGCUGAGGUGCGAAAGUGUGGGGGAGCAAACAAGAUUAGAUACACCUGGUAGUCCAUACCUGAAAA